CUUGCACGGGAUGUUAUACAACCAAAGGAUCGAAACUUUCAAUUCAUACCACCUCAAAUCGCCAAUGAUACAAGAUACAUGCCUUAUUUUAAGGAUUGUAUUGGAUGCAUUGAUGGUACUCAUGUGGCAGCAUGUAUUCCCGAGGCUGAUCAAUUGCGUUAUAGAGGGAGAAAAGACAUCCCCACUUUCAAUGUCAUGGCUGUGUGUGACUUUGAUAUGUGUUUUACAUUUUUGUC